GGCCGCGGUAACCCGUGCAAAGGUAGCAUAAUCAUUUGCCCCUUAAUUAGGGGCUUGUAUGAACGGAUAAACGAGAAAUACGCUGUCUCUAGAGCACUAAAUAAAAACUAUCCUCCAUGUGAAAAGACAUGGCUACUUAUAGAAGACAAGAAGACCCUAUUGCGCUUCAUUGAAAAGAACGAAAACCCUACCUUUCUAUCAAUUUAGUUGGGGCGACACCGGAUACUCACAUCCAUCCGACAAAAAAAAGGAUCACAAUCCCUCCUAAUUGACCCUAAAAAGCUUAAAGAACAAGUCACCAUAGGGAUAACAGGCUAAUCCCCUCAUAGAGCCCAUAUCGACGAGGGGGUUUGGCACCUCGAUGUUGGCUUAGGGUAUCAUAUAGACGCAGCCGUCUAUAAAUGAAGGUUUGUUCAACCU
rnacentral:rRNA from 1 species